rnacentral:misc_RNA from 1 species
UUCGAUGUCAGCUUCCGAUUAAGUUGCCAUUUUGUAUUCCUGUAGGAAAUCCACCUGAUGUGGAGAGGAUGUACUUGCGUGCAACUGAAGCUGCUGUUGCCCAACUUAAAGAUUCACAUGUUGUAUUCAUGCUAGAGAGACUAAGCAAAGGGUCUUCAAACGCAACUCAACCUAUCAUUCUCCAUGGUAGAGAACUGGAUUUUAGCACGG